GACGAACGCUGGCGGCGUGCUUAACACAUGCAAGUCGAACGCGCCUGUCCUCUGGGUUUCUGGGGGGUGGGUGAGUGGCGAACGGGUGAGUAACACGUGAGUAACCUGCCCCCUUCUUCGGGAUAACGGUCUGAAAGGGCUGCUAAUACCGGGUAUUCACUGGUCUCCGCAUGGGGUCUGGUGGAAAGGUUUUUUCUGGUGGGGGAUGGGCUCGCGGCCUAUCAGCUUGUUGGUGGGGUGAUGGCCCACCAAGGCUUUGACGGGUAGCCGGCCUGAGAGGGUGACCGGUCACAUUGGGACUGAGAUACGGCCCAGACUCCUACGGGAGGCAGCAGUGGGGAAUAUUGCACAAUGGGCGCAAGCCUGAUGCAGCGACGCCGCGUGAGGGAUGGAGGCCUUCGGGUUGUGAACCUCUUUCGCCCGUGGUCAAGCCGCGACGUGGGUCGUGGUGAGGGUAGUGGGUAAAGAAGCGCCGGCUAACUACGUG
rnacentral:rRNA from 1 species